rnacentral:rRNA from 1 species
CAGUCGCGUCACGGUUUCCGUUUUUGAACCUGCGCCACGGAUCAUUA